CUCCCAUUUAAGAUACCCCAUGUCACAAAAUCAUCUAGUAUCAUGCAGAAAAAAUGUCUAAAGAACCAAAACAGAUUCAAUGCAGUGACGGCAGAAAGUGUAUGGGCAUGAAGAUUCAAAGAAAAAGAUGCGGCCGUUGAAAGAUUUAUAUGCUCCUUUGCUCCAGGUACCUGAACCACUAAGGCCAGUUUCACCAAAUUCAUUUAGUCCAGAAGCACCAACACCAAGUUCAUCUGCACUCUUACCUCCUCCACCACUUCCAGAAUCAGAAGACCAAGUGUUUCCUCCUAAUGGAAAUCAAAAUUCUCUGGAUCAGAAUUCCUGAGUCACUGACA
rnacentral:lncRNA from 1 species